rnacentral:rRNA from 1 species
UGGGGAAUAUUGGACAAUGGGCGAAAGCCUGAUCCAGCAAUGCCGCGUGUGUGAAGAAGGUCUUCGGAUUGUAAAGCACUUUCGACGGGGACGAUGAUGACGGUUACCCGUAGAAGAAGCCCCGGCUAACUUCGUGACAG